rnacentral:rRNA from 1 species
UACGGAGGGGGCAAGCGUUAUUCGGAAUUAUUGGGCGUAAAGGGCGCGUAGGCGGCCCUGUAAGUCAAAGGUGAAAGCCCUCGGCUCAACCGAGGAACAGCCCUUGAUACUGCAGGGCUCGAGGCCGGGAGAGGGUGGUGGAAUUCCCAGUGUAGCGGUGAAAUGCGUAGAUAUUGGGAGGAACACCCGUGGCGAAGGCGGCCACCUGGACCGGAUCUGACGCUGAGGCGCGAAAGCGUGGGGAGCAAACAGG